UUUAUGGAGAGUUUGAUCCUGGCUCAGGAUGAACGCUGGCGGCGUGCCUAAUACAUGCAAGUCGAGCGAACGGACGAGAAGCUUGCUUCUCUGAUGUUAGCGGCGGACGGGUGAGUAACACGUGGAUAACCUACCUAUAAGACUGGGAUAACUUCGGGAAACCGGAGCUAAUACCGGAUAAUAUUUGAACCGCAUGGUUCAAAAGUGAAAGACGGUCUUGCUGUCACUUAUAGAUGGAUCCGCGCUGCAUUAGCUAGUUGGUAAGGUAACGGCUUACCAAGGCAACGAUGCAUAGCCGACCUGAGAGGGUGAUCGGCCACACUGGAACUGAGACACGGUCCAGACUCCUACGGGAGGCAGCAGUAGGGAAUCUUCCGCAAUGGGCGAAAGCCUGACGGAGCAACGCCGCGUGAGUGAUGAAGGUCUUCGGAUCGUAAAACUCUGUUAUUAGGGAAGAACAUAUGUGUAAGUAACUGUGCACAUCUUGACGGUACCUAAUCAGAAAGCCACGGCUAACUACGUGCCAGCAGCCGCGGUAAUACGUAGGUGGCAAGCGUUAUCCGGAAUUAUUGGGCGUAAAGCGCGCGUAGGCGGUUUUUUAAGUCUGAUGUGAAAGCCCACGGCUCAACCGUGGAGGGUCAUUGGAAACUGGAAAACUUGAGUGCAGAAGAGGAAAGUGGAAUUCCAUGUGUAGCGGUGAAAUGCGCAGAGAUAUGGAGGAACACCAGUGGCGAAGGCGACUUUCUGGUCUGUAACUGACGCUGAUGUGCGAAAGCGUGGGGAUCAAACAGGAUUAGAUACCCUGGUAGUCCACGCCGUAAACGAUGAGUGCUAAGUGUUAGGGGGUUUCCGCCCCUUAGUGCUGCAGCUAACGCAUUAAGCACUCCGCCUGGGGAGUACGACCGCAAGGUUGAAACUCAAAGGAAUUGACGGGGACCCGCACAAGCGGUGGAGCAUGUGGUUUAAUUCGAAGCAACGCGAAGAACCUUACCAAAUCUUGACAUCCUUUGACAACUCUAGAGAUAGAGCCUUCCCCUUCGGGGGACAAAGUGACAGGUGGUGCAUGGUUGUCGUCAGCUCGUGUCGUGAGAUGUUGGGUUAAGUCCCGCAACGAGCGCAACCCUUAAGCUUAGUUGCCAUCAUUAAGUUGGGCACUCUAAGUUGACUGCCGGUGACAAACCGGAGGAAGGUGGGGAUGACGUCAAAUCAUCAUGCCCCUUAUGAUUUGGGCUACACACGUGCUACAAUGGACAAUACAAAGGGCAGCGAAACCGCGAGGUCAAGCAAAUCCCAUAAAGUUGUUCUCAGUUCGGAUUGUAGUCUGCAACUCGACUACAUGAAGCUGGAAUCGCUAGUAAUCGUAGAUCAGCAUGCUACGGUGAAUACGUUCCCGGGUCUUGUACACACCGCCCGUCACACCACGAGAGUUUGUAACACCCGAAGCCGGUGGAGUAACCUUUUAGGAGCUAGCCGUCGAAGGUGGGACAAAUGAUUGGGGUGAAGUCGUAACAAGGUAGCCGUAUCGGAAGGUGCGGCUGGAUCACCUCCUUU
rnacentral:rRNA from 1 species